UCAUCAUCAAGGACCUUCUGAAGCUGUCAGAACACUUCUAAUUCUCAAGCACUAAGCAGAAGGGAUGAGAAAAUUCGUUGUACUGAGACGUCAUUAGGUGAUUCUGACCCGCAUUCCCCUUUCCUAGGUAUCUGAAAAAACAGUCCUCAAUUCAACAACCUACUUCAGUAAUCAUCCAGAACAAUCAAGUAUUCAAUCAGCAUCUCCUUUAAUUGCAACUCUAGCCAACAACAAUGCCUGCAAGCUGGCAGAUUCCUGAUGAAAUGAACUCUCAAAAGUGAAUGUUCAUGGAACAAAAGUGAUAUUUAAAAU